UCUUCCGCAAUGGACGAAAGUCUGAUGGAGCAACGCCGCGUGAGUGAUGAAGGUUUUCGGAUCGUAAAACUCUGUCGUUAGGGAAGAACAAGUACCGCUCGAAUAGGGCGGUACCUCCACGGUACCUAACCAGAAAGCCACGCCUAACUACGUGCCAGCAGCCGCGGUAAUACGUAGGUGGCAAGCGUUGUCCGGAAUUAGUGGGCGUAAAGCGCGCGCAGGCGGUUUCUUAAGUCUGAUGUGAAAGCCCCCGGCUCAACCGGGGAGUGUCAUUGGAAACUGGGGAACUUGAGUGCAGAAGAGGAGAGUGGAAUUCCACGUGUAGCGGUGAAAUGCGUAGAGAUGUGGAGGAACACCAGUGGCGAAGGCGACUCUCUGGUCUGUAACUGACGCUGAGGCGCGAAAGCGUGGGGAGCGAACAG
rnacentral:rRNA from 1 species